AUGCCCGUCCCCGCUCCCUACAAGAUGGCCGCCACCGCUGAGGAGACCGCCGGGGGGGGGUUGGGAGCGGGGCGGGGCGAACACCCCUCAGGGCGAUCGCGGGGCUACCGGGGAAGAGGGAGAGGUGGGGAGCGGGGUGGCAGCACCAUGGGGGAGCAGAUGUGGGACAGCGACAGCGACGAGACCGUGGUGGAGGGCUCGGUGGCGGAGAGCGAUGUGGAGGAAGAGGAGUUCCACAGGAGGAGAUGGUUAUCUGUAUUCAAUAAGGACAUGGAUUUAACAACAGAAAUAAAAAAUAAUGGAGGAGUUUCCUCUCCAGAAAUCCACUUUAUCCAUAUAGCUCACGGUCGUAUGUAUGGACUAAAGGUAAAACAGAUUUCACAGAAAAUAAGUUAUGAAGGUCUCUCUCCAGUAACAAGCCAGCAUCCAGAUGCCUUUCUGGAGAAGAUAAUAGCAGUUCCAAAGCAACAGACACCACAGGAUUUAUUUCCACAUGUUUUAGAAGAUUGCCAGAGAACCUGCAUGACUGUGAUUGACACAGAUAACAGUGUAAAAGAACAAUCCUGUAAUAAUGAUACAGAUCUUUCAUUGGCAACCCUAGGAAAUAUUUUCACAGAACCACUAGUGCUCACUGAACAGAGCAUAGAGACUGCUGAACUUGAAGUCAGUGAUUUGUUGAGACCUCUCAGUGAUUCUGAGAGUCCUAAAACGAUAAACCAACUGCAUGACGUAUUAGACUAUCAGGGUCAUGUCUUUUCCAGUGAUAUAUCAGCAGAUGAGAACAGUGAUGCCCUUCCAGUAGAGCUUGUGACAGCUCUGAAUUCCUUGUCAGGAUCUGUAAUACAGUCUGACAGUCCUGUAGUGCCAAGCAAGAGACAGCAUACCACUGAGGAAGAGCAGUUAAAUUCAGAAUCCAGUACUCCCCAGCAAGAUGAUGACUGUACACAAAUAACAAACGUGUUUGAGCCUCAGCUUCCUACAAUUCACGAAGAAGAAAUAAAAGCCUUAACAGGAUCUAACUUGCAGAGGACAACAAAUGAGCAAGUACAUACAAAAUUUAAUCAGUAUUUGAAAUGUCACGUUUAUCAGAAAAUAUUUUCUAUAAUAGUCAAAUUACGUGGAGAUGCAAUCUUAACAGGGAAUAAACUGGCAUCAGUAAUUUAA
rnacentral:lncRNA from 1 species